rnacentral:sRNA from 1 species
AAUUAUAUAUAUGAAAGUUGGCCAACACUCUUCAUAUGAGUGACACAUCAUCACACAAAAAAAUAAUGUGUGUCAUUUUACAUUAGUUAAAUUAAAAAUCUAGCAAAAAUAAUUGAAAAAAAAUCAAAAA